rnacentral:ncRNA from 1 species
UUCUGAAUAACAAUGCAAACAUAAACACACAACUAUGGUAAAACUUUUAACUCUUAACCUGCUGGGAUUCACGCAUUCUGUGCGAGGAUAAGGCUCGGUUAGAGAAAAGUUCACUAUCCACACUUAGCCCGCACGUCAAAAUGCGGGCUUUUUUUAUCGAAU